AAUUCAGUUGCUGGGUCAUAUGGUCAGAACUUGUAGUUUUAUAAGAAACUGCCAAACUGCCUUCCAAAGCUGCUGUCCCAUUUCACAUUCCCACCAGCAAC
rnacentral:pre_miRNA from 1 species